rnacentral:rRNA from 1 species
GUGGGGAAUAUUGCGCAAUGGGGGAAACCCUGACGCAGCAACGCCGCGUGAAUGAUGAAGGUCUUCGGAUUGUAAAGUUCUGUCUUCUGGGACGAUAAUGACGGUACCAGCGGAGGAAGCCACGGCUAACUACGUGCCAGCAGCCGCGGUAAUACGUAGGGGGCAAGCGUUGUCCGGAUUUACUGGGCGUAAAGGAUGCGUAGGCGGACAUUUAAGUCAGAUGUGAAAUACCCGAGCUUAACUUGGGUGCUGCAUUUGAAACUGGGUGUCUAGAGUGCAGGAGAGGUAAGUGGAAUUCCUAGUGUAGCGGUGAAAUGCGUAGAGAUUAGGAAGAACACCAGUGGCGAAGGCGACUUACUGGACUGUAACUGACGCUGAGGCAUGAAAGCGUGGGGAGCAAACAGGAUUAGAUACCCUUGUAGUCC